rnacentral:lncRNA from 1 species
UCUCUGCAAGGACCAAUUAUAUGGCCGGAGAAAAUAAUCUUACAUAUGUGUUUAAUUGGGAGAGCAUAUGAACAUUUGGAGCUGUAACUUGUAAGUGAAUGGUAGCAUGGAAACAUGGACGGUGCAUGUAGUAAUUUUUUACUCAUAGCUUUAACAUAGAGUCAGUCUUGUUGCAUUACCUGAUCACCUGAACAUGAGCCUCAAUUGUAAGAGAGCCAAAAUCAUCUAUGAACCCAUCAUGUAACUUGGGUAACUCCAUAAACUUUUUCCAUCCCCAAUCAUGUUCUUUCUUCCAAAACCGGUGCAACGUAUCUGCAAGAGGUGAAUUCAGUUGUCUGCAUAAUGAAAUGGAAGCAAGCAAACUUAAGAGUAAAAAAAUCACCUGCAGACUUAGACUUCUUUGGAUCUUUAUGCACCACAGAUAUAGUAAACUGAGCGAACUGACUCCAGCCUGGUAUCCAAGAUACCAAAA